rnacentral:rRNA from 1 species
CACGUAGGGCGCAAGCGUUGUCCGGAAUUAUUGGGCGUAAAGAGCUCGUAGGCGGUCUGUUGCGUCCGCUGUGAAAACUCGGGGCUUAACCCCGAGCCUGCAGUGGAUACGGGCAGACUAGAGGUAGGUAGGGGAGAAUGGAAUUCCCGGUGUCGCGGUGAAAUGCGCAGAUAUCGGGAGGAACACCGGUGGCGAAAGCGGCUCACUGGACCACAACUGACGCUGAGGCGCGAAAGCUAGGGGAGCAAACAGG